UCAAAUUAUUUUCCUAUUCAUUUGAAUUCUUGCAUCCUGUAUUAAUUUUGUCAAAUGUGCAUUGCACAUGCACGUUUACUAGUGCAACUAAAUUAGUGCCGGCAGAUCGUAAUCAAUCAUGAUUUAAUGCGAGCGAAAUUGAAGCCUGCGAUUUUAAUGCCAGGAAAUUAGCGCCGCGAGGUCCGGAUCUGACCGAAAUUGAAGCCGCGGGAUUCAAUCAGUUGUGAUUUUAAUGCCAGCGAAAUUAGGGCCGCAAGAUCGGGAUCGGACGAAGAUCAGAUCGUUCGGAUCUGUUGUAAAAUUACAGUCUGCAGGAGAAUAGCUUUCUCGAUUAUAUUUUGAUACAGAGGGAGUACUAUAUAAGUUCUCACUCACAAACUCAAAACAUAGCUCUUUCUUUUUUUAGGUAAAACUCAAAACAGAGCUGGGGAAGUAAUAAAAAACAGUUCUCUCUUCUCUGUGUAAACAGUUGACUGGGCUGCGAACCCGGCCCUGGAGCAACCAGCGCCACUCCGUCCGCCGUCGAAGGCCACGGGUUGAAUUUCCCUUUUACCCCGAGUCUGCACUGCGCCGUCCCGUUGGUGGUUCGGUUCAACGCAGUAGAAGAAUUUAGAGCACAGCGACACGAGCGCGCAGAUGGGCGAGGAGCAGAGUCUGGCCCUGAGCGGGGGUUGCGGUUGCCGGCGAAGCCGAGAAGCUCCAGUCGCGGCGUCCUUAUCCGCAGCGCGGGUGGCCGCUGGCCGGCGGAGGUCCAGUAGUCCAGUACCCCAAGUUGCUGCACUCGCUAGGUAUGAUAUAGCUCCUCCAGGUAAGGGAGCAAAACUGCAAUCAACGAGGGCUAGGAACUGAAAUUCUGGUCAAUUAGCAGUGGAAUUGGGUGGUCUAGGUUAAUACUCCUUAGGUUGGAUUUCUUCCCAGUCGGGUCGGGUCAUCUAUAGUCAUCCAUCACUCGUUAUUGUGGAGGAUUACAACGGUUACUGAAUCUUUUGUAUGGCCGCGGUCAAACUACGAGCAAAUGGAAGAGUUUGGGUUUGAUUUGGGGAUCAAAAUUGAUAACACUUAUCUGCAUUUUGAAUGAUUGGUUUUUACACAAUCUGAUUAGGUGAACUUCAAGCCCUUUUAGCAGGUUACUUACAAUUGUGAGACCACUGGCUAUGGAUCUGUACCAAUGUACGUCCGUGUGCACUACUAUGCUGUUUGUGUAUUCUGACCAAAUGAACACCAAUCGUCCGACAUGUCUGUGCAUCCAUAACCAUAAGCACUACACAAAUGUCAAUACUGUAUCCAUUACACUCAUGGUCUCUUCCCUGUGGCAACUAUGGCAGCCACCACCUUCCAAUGGCCAACUGACCACAUGAGGAAUUAAUGUGUUAGGCUUUUAGCAGUGCUUGUCCCAUGGGAAAAUUGGAAGCUGAUGCGUCAGGAAAAUGGAUAAUGUCUAGGGUGAAACCAUAAAAGCGUGCUGAGGUUACUUGUGUCAACAUACUUCAUACUCCAGCCACAUGAUAAUAAACUAUGCUGGCAGGGUCCAGAUUUGCACUUUCGGAUAUAAGUAUAUUUGAUCCAGAGUUUACAAUCUAUUCACAUUAGUAUCAUCUAGUUCCUUCGUGUUGCCUUGUUGGACUAAUGUUGUAUCAUUUCUAGGCAUAGAUUUCAAAUUACAGUAUAAGCAUACUUUUGCCUCGAUUUCAGUUUAUAUUGGCCUGUCAAAACCGAAUUCCAGUUGCUUCUUUAUUCCCCUCUAAUCUCAGUCCGUUCUUUGUACCUAAUUUUGUUUCAUAAUUAUAUAUGAAAAGUAUGCUGCAGAAAAUACUUACUAAUCUUGAUGCUUAUACCUAUCUACCCCACUCGUAGUAAAUCUUCUUGAGAAGUUGAGGUCACAUUCUUGUAUGAAGUUUUGGUGGCAGGUGGAUAUCCACAAUUAUCCCUGUUUGGUUCUCUUGUUGUCAUGCCUUCUUGUUCUUACAAAUUUCCGCUGUCUAAUUUUGGUCUUAGGAGUCACUGAAAGAUGAAAUGGAAUCCGUUUCACGAGCUCCAGCCUUGAUACAAUAAUCAAUACUCAUUGAUGUUAUCUACUUUGUCUUGUUGUCUAUGUAUCUAAAAAUUAACGGGACGUGAUUAUGAGGUGCAAAGUGUGAACUAACUGUGUAUUCGAUGCAAUAGGGGUCUUUGAGUCAGAUUAGGAUGGGGAACUUGUAGUUGAAUCAGUAAAGAACAAUGUUACAAUUUUGUUAUUUCUCUUUAUCUUGGUCCAUUGUACAUGCCUAUAAAAGCUUAAAAUACCUAGGGAUAACAAGCUUGGUUCUAUGGAUCUUGUACCAUGUUAACCAAGCGAUUUUCCUCGCAAAGAAACGAACUACUCCCUCCGAUCCAUAUUACUUGCCGCAGCUUUAGUACAACUUUAUACUAAAAUUGUACUAAAGCUGCGACUAAUAAUAUGGAUCGGAGGGAGUAAUUGAUUCCAAAAAUGAAAUGUUGUUGAAAUGUUCAUUACAUUGUUUUGACGGAAAUAAAGUGUUACAUCUUCUGCAGCGAAGAAUCUAUUACCUAUUUCAGUGGUAUGAUUCGAGGCAACAUAAUGUAAUAUUAAAUGUGCCCACUAGUGCACAAAGUACAUGGGUUGAAGAAUUAACGCAUUAGAUUCAUUUGUUGAAAGGAUCUCACCGUUGUUGUUUAUCGUAUUUUUGUAGUGUGGCUAACUGGCUGUUAUUCUACCACCAAAGACCACUGUCUGCUUGGCCUAACUUUGAGCUUUGUCCCUGAUGAGCUUAAGCUGAAGUCAGAUCACAUGUUUUCUGUUAGGGGUUUAGCCGCUUACAUGGAUAACCUGCAGCUAUCCAGAUUCUACUCUUUCUAGUGUCUAGGACAUUGUUGCGAUGUUAAGACUUUUUGACUUUAUAACUCUUUUAGGGCCUGAGCUAUGUGGAGUGCAAUUUAGAAUUAAUCUAAACUGGAUAAAUGUUCCAGCUAGCAAUCAUGCCAUCUGUGUACCUCUUUUGGUGCAAGUGAACUCUACUAUUUGCAAUAGUUGUGACUGAGACAACCAGUGACAUCACUGGUAAAACUUAGCCGAGCUAAGGUGUUACGCUUUAGUUGGGCAUUAGAUAUAAGCAAGGAACUCACUAUGUAUCAGUUUCUGCUGGUUGCCUGGUUGUAAGCACUCUGAAGCUGAUUCAAAAUGCUGUAAACUUUUAUUUUCUUUUUUGUGAUUGCCUUUAGCCUGUGCAUUGCUAGACCAGAAACAUGUUUCGCCCUUUCAUGUCCAGAGAGGUCGGGGUAGCCCGAACUUGACAUGGGACGGAGUCCAUAAAGAGAGAUCUAAAAGAUUGGAGUAUCACCAAAGAAUUAGCCAUGGACAGGGGUGCGUGGAAGCUAGCUAUCCAUGUGCUAUAACCAUGAGUAGGUUGCGAGAUCUUAUGGGUUUCAGCUCUAGUGUACCCCAACUUGUUUGGGACUAAAGGCUUUGUUGUCAACAUGUUUGACCCUUUCGCUAAUUUGCUUAGGUUUUUCUCAGCAGAAUGGUUUUAGUUGUUUCAAAUCAAAUCAACCUGGAUUCCAAAUCAAGAAUGAUCUAUACUUGGUUUCAUCUUUCUAGUUCGUAUUACUCAGUCGCUGCACAAAUUGUCCUUCAUAAUCUGUCAUAUGGUUUGUAUGGAAACAUUGGUGGCACCAAAUUUACUCAAGUGCUAAUGUAUUCUUGUGAUAGUUUAAUGGCCAUCAUUUUCUUUCUUAUCUUAGGAGAAAGGAGACUGAGCUCGAACUACUUUUAUAUCAUUUUGAAAGCACUCGUUCCUUGUCUUUGAUGAAUACAUUUUCAAUGUUUUAGAAUAAAUAGGUAAAACUCUAUUCAGACAGUUUAUUGGGGGAUGUGGGGUGGAUGUGAACGUAAGACAAUCCAAGCAAGUUUGUCGUAUCAUAAUUAAUUAACUUCUUACUGCGUUGUUACUGCAGUCUGACGUAUGACUCGUACUUGACCAGGUGUUCUGCUUCCAAGUGAGGUACUGUGAUCAAUUAUAUGAAUGUGCCAAUAUUGCCAGCCUUUUUUUUGCAGCAGCAGAUUUGCAGCUUUUUUGGUGUGUUUGGUGGCAAUUAUCAGGGUCACUAACUCCUAUGGUGCUAGGAUGGGGCCAAAGGACAUAUUGCUAAGCUGCUAGUUCGUGAAAGUUUUUGAAAUAUCCAGAUUCUGUUCGAUGUGAUAUGCUAAUUCUUGGUGAUUAUGCCUGCUAUUGAUGUACAAACCAAUUACCCAAGUGGCUGAGAACCGAGAUGAGGAUAUGGUGAUAUGCUGGCUGUCAUGGCUGACGGAGACAGGUGGUGCUUCUGUUUCUGUGGACUUUAAAUUUUGGCCUUUUCCUUUUAAAUGUUGGUCCAUCAUUAUCCAGAAUAAAUUCCUGCAUUACAGCAUUAGGAGUCAGAAUAAGGUUCUGAAGACACCUGAUUGCUUUCAAUUCCAUACCACAGUGAAUUAAAUGUUCUGAAUAUGGUUGCAAGCCAAGACCCUUGUGCUGUUGCUAUUAGAGUAGAUCUUCAUUCCAUGUGCAAUAACUUCUGCUAUUAUGCCAACUAGUAGAAUCACAAUAUAUUUCUGGACAACUACUCCCUCUGUAAACCAAUGUAAGAGCGUUCAGAUCACUAAAGUAGUGAUCUAAACGCUCUUAUAUUAGUUUACGGAGGGAGUGCUUUUAUUUUUACCAUAGUGCAAUAUUUUACUUAUUUUUUCUUCCUCUGUUGAUUGAUUAGGCUGAGAUAGGUUUCUGAAACAUUUUAGAGAGAGUGAAGAGGAAAAAUAGGAAAUGCACAGCAACUUGAAGUGAUGGUGCUCACCCAACAAUUUCUCGAUCACGGAUUCUCUACAAAUAAUUCAUCAAAAUUAUGCAGCCUUGACUGAAACUGAAAGAGUGGAAAUGAGGCGAGCCCCCGUGUGCCCAUGGCACAAAGUGCCAGCUAUAGGAUCAAAUGAUAGAGGCAAUUGUGGUCACCCAUAGCAGGUUUUAGGAGCACCGAAUCCAGCUGGCGGUGGGGGGAGAUGGCGGGACAAGCAUUGCACACAUAUAGCCACACCAGGCAGAAUUGCCAUAUAAGUCCCAGCAGAUGCAUUUGCUGUUAGAACAUAUUCUGUUCACGCCUUGUCUUGUUUCAAAAGUUCUUAUUGAUUCUGCCAGAUAUUUGCAACUUGAUUUGAUUUUAGUGCGCCCACACCAACCCGUUUCUGAUAUUCAGGUACACUGCACAUUUCCCCCAUGAUCAUGAACUGAUCAUGUGUUAUUUUUCUUGUGUAUAAAUACACACCUACUAAAUGCGAUAUGUGAUCUAAUCGGUACACCGUUGCAUCAGGAAUAGCCAGAUGGACCAGUGAUCAGGUUUCAGAUCACCGAUUACAAAUGUUGAGUCUUUUUUUUCUCUCUUCAGAUGACUGGUUACAACGGUGCGUCACUAGUGCGUUUUAGCAGGAAAGGGAGAGAAAUUCUUCACUGGAAAUGGGGUUAAAGCAGGCUUAUCCUAAGAAAAAUCUGCAGCAUGGAGGGGCUCCCAGGGGGUCUGGUAAAUAAGUUGGCCCGGCUUCGGCCUGUUUGGGGCUAGACAUACCUAUGUCACAGUCGAUAUGUCACACGAAGACUGCAGCUGUUUCGAUCUGAACCAAUCAAGUUACUAGUUCAGAUUGUGGCCCUGGGAAACGCUUGACGUCUUUUUUUUAAUCUGACAAGCGCAUGAAUCCUGUCGGUAAAAAUAUAUCCUUGUCGCUACUUGUUAGUUUCGCCAUGUUUGAUGCAAAAAGAUAAAUAGAUGGAAA